rfam:Cloacibacillus evryensis DSM 19522 genomic scaffold CloevDRAFT_Scaffold1.1, whole genome shotgun sequence.
UCCAGUGGUAAUAGAGGAGUGGAUCCACCCGGUCCCAUGCCGAACCCGGCAGUUAAGCACUCCAUCGUCGAUGGUACUACGGAGGGUAUCCGUGGGAGAGUAGAUCGCUGCUGGAA